rnacentral:rRNA from 1 species
UAAUACGAAGGGGGCGAGCGUUGUUCGGAUUUACUGGGCGUAAAGGGCGCGCAGGCGGCGGACCAAGUCAGGCGUGAAAGCCCCGGGCUUAACCUGGGAGGUGCGUCUGGGACUGGUAUGCUAGAGUUCGGGAGAGGAGAGUGGAAUUCCCAGUGUAGAGGUGAAAUUCGUAGAUAUUGGGAAGAACACCGGUGGCGAAGGCGGCUCUCUGGACCGAGACUGACGCUGAGGCGCGAAAGCGUGGGGAGCAAACAGGAUUAGAUACCCUGGUAGUCCACGCUGUAAACGAUGUGUGCUAGACGUUGGGGAGCCUAGCUCUUCGGUGUCGCAGCUAACGCGGUAAGCACACCGCCUGGGGAGUACGGCCGCAAGGUUA